rnacentral:rRNA from 3 species
AACCUGCGGAGGGAUCAUUACUGAGUGAGGGCCUUCGGGCUCGACCUCCAACCCUUUGUGAACACAACUUGUUGCUUCGGGGGCGACCCUGCCGUUUCGACGGCGAGCGCCCCCGGAGACCAUCAAACACUGCAUCUUUGCGUCGGAGUUUAAGUAAAUUAAACAAAACUUUCAACAACGGAUCUCUUGGUUCUGGCAUCGAUGAAGAACGCAGCGAAAUGCGAUAAGUAAUGUGAAUUGCAGAAUUCAGUGAAUCAUCGAAUCUUUGAACGCACAUUGCGCCCUUUGGUAUUCCGAAGGGCAUGCCUGUUCGAGCGUCAUUUCACCACUCAAGCCUGGCUUGGUAUUGGGCGCCGCGGUCAAUCCGCGCGCCUCAAAGUCUCCGGCUGAGCUGUCCGUCUCUAAGCGUUGUGAUUUCAUUAAUCGCUUCGGAGUGCGGGCGGCCGCGGCCGUUAAAUCUUUCACAAGGUUGACCUCGGAUCAGGUAGGGAUA